rnacentral:rRNA from 1 species
UACGUAGGGUGCAAGCGUUGUCCGGAAUCAUUGGGCGUAAAGCGCGCGUAGGCGGCCCGAUAAGUCCGCUGUAAAAGUCAACGGCUCAACUGUUGAAAGCCGGUGGAUACUGUCGGGCUAGAGUACGGAAGAGGCAAGUGGAAUUCCUGGUGUAGCGGUGGAAGUGCGCAGAUAUCAGGAGGAACACCUAUAGCGAAGGCAGCUUGCUGGGACGUUACUGACGCUAAGGCGCGAAAGCGUGGGGAGCGAACAGG